rnacentral:rRNA from 1 species
UACGUAGGGGGCAAGCGUUGUCCGGAUUUAUUGGGCGUAAAGAGUGUGUAGGCGGCCAUACAGGUCAGCUGUGAAAACUCGAGGCUCAACCUCGAGACGUCGGUUGAAACCGUAUGGCUAGAGUCCGGAAGAGGAGAGUGGAAUUCCCGGUGUAGCGGUGAAAUGCGCAGAUAUCGGGAAGAACACCCGUGGCGAAGGCGGCUCUCUGGGACGGUACUGACGCUGAGACGCGAAAGCGUGGGGAGCGAACAGG